rnacentral:misc_RNA from 1 species
ACUACGGGGUAUCUAAUCCUGUUUUGCCUCCCCACGCUCGUGCAUGAGCGUCAGUGUUAUCCCAGGAGGCUGCCUUCGCCAUCGGUGUUCUCGCAUAUCUGCAUUCACUGCUACACGCGGAAUUCCACCUCCCUCCUGACACUCUAGCUCGGUAGUUAAAAAUGCAGUUCCAAAGUUAAGCUCUGGUUCACAUCUUUCUUUCCGAACCGCCUGCGCACGCUUUUACGCCAGUAAUUCCGAUUAACGCUUGCACCUACGUAUUACCGCGGCUGCUGGCGUGGUUAGCCGUUGCUUAUUCUGCGGGUACCGUCAGUGCAGAUAUUAGCGUCUGUGCCAUUUUCUCUCACCAAAAAUUCACUUUACAACCGAGGCCUUCAUCGCACACGCGGGAUGGCUGGACCAGGGUUUUCCCCAUUGUCCAAAAUUCCCCACUGCUGCGUCCCGUA